AGGAAUUCACUUUAGUAUGACACAGAAUAACCUUUAUUUUCACAGAAGAACCCAUUAACACAAGUAGUCAAUACUCAGGAUACGACACUGUAUGAGUAAUAGGGAAUACGCCAAAAAGUAGUGUGGGGGUAGGACCGGCUUUCAAGAAAUUUCACGUGCACAUUUUUUAAAAAAUGCGAAAUUUUACUAUCACAGUAGAUCAGAUAAAUAAAUUUUGACAUAUUCAUACAAUGACACACUAAACACCAAUAAAAAGGAAUAAACUAUAGAUACAAGAUGCAACAUGGAAGAAUCUGAGACAUAAUGAGCAAAAGAAGCUAGACACAAGAGAAUACAUUCUGCGUGAUUCCAUUUAUACAAAGUUCAAAAGCAGAGAAAGCAAUUCUACGGUGUCAGAAUAGAGAAAAUUAAACAAGACUUUAUAACACGUAUACAUGGGAGAGACUCAGGCAAACUGAGCAACUCACCAAAAUGGUGGAAGCUCUCACCUUAAAUACCACCCUCAGCUAAAGACAAAGGAGCGUGUGGGGGGCGGGAGGACCCAGUUAUGGGAGAUUACCAGAAAAGCACAGCAAACAAGAGUCAGGUUAUUAUGCAGAUUUAAGUACUUGCCUUCUGCAUUGACAAGAGUUUCUAGAGAUAAGGUCAUCCCUUCUUCUUCCUGGUACAGAGAGGGAGACACCUUUACAGAGAGGGAGAUUUCCUUUACAAAUGUAAAUUUCUCUUAACAAAGGGUAACUCCUACUUUUCAGAGGUUCUCUCAUGUCUGUAGUUUUUAAAAGUAACCAGCCCCAAAUAAUCCUUAUGCCAAAGAGGGAGAUCUUGCGGUGGCCAAUUCCAACCCCCCACAGUCCCGCCUUUGAAAUUUUAAGACGUUUCGUAGUCCAGAAGCUGAGUGAUAGAUUGUUUCAUCUCACUGAACACAUUUCUUAGUCCUGAAAGUAGAUCAGUCCAGUUAAAUCCACUUUAGAAGGUGGUGAUGCAGGUGCGCUCCCAAAGUUAGGCCUAUACUGUGGAAGCAAGCAAUCAGGUAUUUAAUAAGUACUUCUAUGGAAAUUAAAAAAACAAGGUUAAUGGUUGGAGCAAAUUAUAAACCAGUUCCUGAGCCCAGGAGGCAGCCAGUCAAGAAGAUUUCUAGAUGUCAGAGUUGAAGCAUCUUUUGCGUCUUGAAAUGUCUCUGAUGAUGUCAUCGGGCAUUCAGGUAUCUUUCUGAGUGGCUUACAGCUUACACAGCAACAGACAGGAAUUUCUCAAGUUUAUAUCAAGUUGUUCAGCUUCAGUUUGCAAGGCUUCAGGAAAAAGGGCAGGUUCAAUUCUCAAUGAUUCCAAAUGAAAAUGAGGGAAAAAAUUGAAAAUGUUAGUUUGGAGAUUUGUAGACAGAUAUUUCAGAGACUAGAAUUCAGAAUCCAGUCCAGGUCACAGGCAGAAAAACCCUCAAAGACAAUUAACAGAACUAGGAUCUAAUAUUUACAAAUGUAUUAUAGCUUUUAACCAAAAUGUAAUUUUUCCCUCUAAAAUCACCUUCAUUUUUACCAAAGAGAGCCAGAUUAAGACUAAUUGGUUUGCAAAAUAAGUUUACUUUCAAUAAACUUGGCCCAAUUAUUUACAUAAGUACAGCAAGAAUAGCCAUUGAUCAUAUAGGCUCUUUUAAAUCUGCUUUGCUGGAACUUUUUAUAAGGAAUCUCAGAUUGAACUUUAAAGGCCUCUCAAGGCCAGGAAAGCCAAGCCAAGGACUUGCCAUCAGAUAUUGCUUGCAAAACCUACAGAUUUGGGUGGAUUCCUCUCUUUUCGAGGUCCCCCAAAAUAUUUCAAGGUUCCUUGCACCUGCCAAACAGGUAAGCUUCCUUACUUACCAGGUAAGAUUUCUGGAAUCUAUGUAAACAAGGUACCAGGCCCAUGUUUCCAAG
rnacentral:lncRNA from 1 species